UACGUAGGGACCAAGCGUUGUUCGGAUUUACUGGGCGUAAAGGGCGCGUAGGCGGUGUUGUAAGUCACUUGUGGAAUCUCUGAGCUUAACUCAGAACGGCCAAGUGAUACUGCAGCACUAGAGUGCAGAAGGGGCAAUCGGAAUUCUUGGUGUAGCGGUGAAAUGCGUAGAUAUCAAGAGGAACACCUGAGGUGAAGACGGGUUGCUGGGCUGACACUGACGCUGAGGCGCGAAAGCUAGGGGAGCAAACGGG
rnacentral:rRNA from 1 species